rnacentral:rRNA from 1 species
UACGUAGGGGGCGAGCGUUGUCCGGAUUUAUUGGGCGUAAAGAGCUCGUAGGCGGCUAGGUAGGUCCGUUGUGAAAACUCGAGGCUCAACCUCGAGCUGUCGAUGGAAACCAUCUGGCUAGAGUCCGGAAGAGGAGAGUGGAAUUCCUGGUGUAGCGGUGAAAUGCGCAGAUAUCAGGAAGAACACCCGUGGCGAAGGCGGCUCUCUGGUACGUGACUGACGCUGAGACGCGAAAGCGUGGGGAGCGAACAGG